rnacentral:rRNA from 1 species
GAUGAACGCUAGCGGCAGGCAUAACACAUGCAAGUCGAGGGAGAGGUUACCUUCGGGUAACCAAAACCGGCGCACGGGUGCGUAACGCGUAUACAAUCUGCCUUUCACAUAGGGAUAGCCCGAAGAAAUUUGGAUUAAUACCUAAUGGUAUAUAAGAGCGGCAUCGUUUUUAUAUUAAAGCUACGGUGGUGAAAGAUGAGUAUGCGUUCUAUUAGCUAGUUGGAGAGGUAACGGCUCCCCAAGGCGACGAUAGAUAGGGGUUCUGAGAGGGAUGUCCCCCACACUGGUACUGAGAUACGGACCAGACUCCUACGGGAGGCAGCAGUGAGGAAUAUUGGACAAUGGUCGGAAGACUGAUCCAGCCAUGCCGCGUGCAGGAUGAAGGUCCUAUGGAUUGUAAACUGCUUUUGUAAGGGAAGAAUAAGGAGUACGUGUACUUUGAUGACGGUACCUUACGAAUAAGCAUCGGCUAACUCCGUGCCAGCAGCCGCGGUAAUACGGAGGAUGCGAGCGUUAUCCGGAAUCAUUGGGUUUAAAGGGUCCGUAGGCGGGCUGAUAAGUCAGAGGUGAAAGCGCUUAGCUCAACUAAGCAACUGCCUUUGAAACUGUCAGUCUUGAAUGAUUGUGAAGUAGUUGGAAUGUGUAGUGUAGCGGUGAAAUGCUUAGAUAUUACACAGAACACCGAUAGCGAAGGCAUAUUACUAACAAUUUAUUGACGCUGAUGGACGAGAGCGUGGGGAGCGAACAGG